rnacentral:rRNA from 1 species
GGGUUUAUUAUAGAAUUAUAUAAUUUUAUAUUUUUGUGGAAAAAUUUUAGUUAAUAAUUAAAAUAAUAUUAAUUUAAUUGUAAUUUUAUAGUAUUUAAAUAGAAAUGAAUUAAUGAGUUAUAAUAAAUUUUAUUGUAAAAGAAGUAAAUUAUUUAUUUUAUAAGAUAAAUUAGUUUUUUUUACCUUUUGUAUCAGGGUUAAUUAAAAUAGUUUAGUUAAUUUUAUAAGUUUCGAAAUUAAUAGAGUUAAAAUUUAGAUUGUAGUUAAAAUUGUAUAUUUGUUACAAAUUGGAUUUUAGGGAUAAAAUGUUAUUCGUUAUUAUUUAUAUCUAAUUUUUUAAUAAAUAAAUUUAAUUUAUAAAUUUUUUAAGACAGUAUAAAUUUAAUAAUUUAAUUUGUUUAAAAAAUUUAAAAAUUUUAAGGGAUAAACUUUAAAAUUAUUACUAUAAAUUUAAUUAGGUAUUAAUAGUUAAAAAUAGAGUUUAAAAUUUUAAUUUUUAAUUAAAAUGUAAUAAUUUAAUAAAUUAAUAAAAAAUUAAUUUUUUAAUUUGUUUUAGUUAAUUUUUAUUAAAAUAUUAAUUUAAAUAAGGUAAAAUUUAGUAAUAAUGAUUAAAUUAGUAAAUUAAAUAUUUAAUAAAAAAUUUUUGUUAAAAUUAAAUUUAUAAUAAUGAAUUAGACAAAAGUUAAUAUUUACCUGUUUAUUAAAAACAUGUCUUUAAAAAAAAUUAUUUAAGGUCGGCCCUGCUCAAUGAUAUUUUAAAUAGCUGCAAUAUAAUGAUUGUAGGAAGGUAGCGUAAUAAAAUGUCUUUUAAUUGAAGAAUUGUAUGAAAGGGUUAAUAAAAUAUUUAUUUUAUUAUUAUAAUAAUAGUUAAAUUUUAUAAUUAAGUAAAAAAUCUUAAAUUUUAUUAUUAGACGAGAAGACCCUAUAAAACUUUAUAGAUUAUUUUAAUUUAUUUUUGUAUAUUUAUUGGAAUUAAAUCUUAUUAUAUUGGGGGUAUAAAAAAAUUAUUAAAUUUUUUUAUUAAUAAAAAUAUUUUAUGCAUAAUUAAAUGAAAAGAGUGUUUAUUAAAAAUUAGUAGAUUAAGUUACUUUAGGGAUAACAGCAUAAUUUUUUUAGAGAGUUCUUAUUGAUAAAAGAGUUUAUGACCUCGAUGUUGAAUUAAGAUAAAUUUUAAAAGGAGAAUUUUAGUAAUUAAGUCUGUUCGACUUUUAAAAUCUUACAUGAUUUGAGUUAAAAUCGGUGUAAGCCAGAUUGGUUUCUAUCUUUAAUCUUAUAAUUAAAUAAUUGUACGAAAGGACUUUAUUUAAAAAUUUUAAAUAAAUUUUAUUAAUGAAUAAAAUUAAAUAUUUAGUAAAAAAAUUAUAAAAAAUAUUGA